rnacentral:rRNA from 1 species
AUUGAACGCUGGCGGCAGGCCUAACACAUGCAAGUCGAACGGUAACAGGAAGAAGCUUGCUUCUUUGCUGACGAGUGGCGGACGGGUGAGUAAUGUCUGGGAAACUGCCUGAUGGAGGGGGAUAACUACUGGAAACGGUAGCUAAUACCGCAUAACGUCGCAAGACCAAAGAGGGGGACCUUCGGGCCUCUUGCCAUCGGAUGUGCCCAGAUGGGAUUAGCUAGUAGGUGGGGUAACGGCUCACCUAGGCGACGAUCCCUAGCUGGUCUGAGAGGAUGACCAGCCACACUGGAACUGAGACACGGUCCAGACUCCUACGGGAGGCAGCAGUGGGGAAUAUUGCACAAUGGGCGCAAGCCUGAUGCAGCCAUGCCGCGUGUAUGAAGAAGGCCUUCGGAUUGUAAAGUACUUUCGGCGGGGAGGAAGGGAGUAGAGUUAAUACCUUUGCUCAUUGACGUUACCCGCAGAAGAAGCACCGGCUAACUCCGUG